GGUCCUGUGGGGCUCAGUUGGUAGAGCAUGGCACUUACAAUACCAGGGUUGUGGGUUUAAGUCCUACGGGGGACCA
rfam:Salmo salar isolate Sally breed double haploid chromosome ssa15, whole genome shotgun sequence.